rnacentral:rRNA from 1 species
GACGAACGCUGGCGGCGUGCUUAACACAUGCAAGUCGAACGAAGUGGCGAACGGGUGAGUAACGCGUAACCAACCUGCCCUUAAGAGGCGGACAACAGUUGGAAACGACUGCUAAUACCGCAUACUGAAGGUGGGGCUUGCGUCUGAUUAGCUAGGUGGAGGGGUAACGGCCUACCAAGGCGAUGAUCAGUAGCCGGUCGGAGAGGAUGAACGGCCACAUUGGGACUGAGACAAUGCCCAGACACCUACGGGAGGCAGCAGUGGGGAAUCUUCCGCAAUGGACGAAAGUCUGACGGAGCAACGCCGCGUGAGUGAUGACGGCCUUCGGGUUGUAAAGCUCUGUUAAUCGGGACGCGGUACCGGAAUAGAAAGCCACGGCUAACUUCGUGCCAGCAGCCGCGGUAAUAC